rnacentral:rRNA from 1 species
UCAAGCUAUAAAGAGCGUAGGGAGAAUGACUUGGCAUCAGGAGCCGAAGAAGGACGUGACAAGCUGCGAAAAGCUGCGGUUAGGAGCAAAUAUCCAUAGACCCGCAGAUAUCCGAAUGGGGAAACCCGGUACGGCAAUACCGUAUCACUGCAUGGUAAAUACAUAGCCAUGUGGAGGAAACCCUCUGAACUGAAACAUCUAAGUAGGAGGAGGAAGAGAAAGAAACAUCGAUUUCCUAAGUAGCGGCGAGCGAAAGGGAAAGAGGCCAAACCAGAGAUAGCAAUAUCUUUGGGGUUGCGGACUGCAUAAUUGAUUUAACAUCUUUAGCAGAAGUGUAUGGGAAGACACACCAUAGUAGGUAAUAGUCCUGUAAGCGAAAGGGAUGUUAACAUGGCAGUAUCCAGAGUACCACCGGACACGAGGAACCCGGUGGGAAGCCGGGGGGACCACCCCCCAAGCCUAAAUACUACCUGAUGACCGAUAGUGAAAAGUACAGUGAUGGAAAGUUGAAAAGAACCCCGGAAGGGGAGUGAAAAAGAAUCUGAAACCCUAUGUUUACAAGCUGCUAAAGCACUAUAUAUGUGCGAUAGCGUACUUUUUGUAGAACGGUCCGGCGAGUGUAUGUUGCAAGCGAGGUUAAGGUGUUAAGCACUGAAGCCGAAGGGAGACCGAGUGUGAAUAGCGCGUACAGUUUGCAGUAUACGACCCGAAACCGGGUGACCUAACCAUGGACAGGUUGAAGUGGAAGUAAAAUUCCAUGGAGGACCGAACCCACGUCUGUUGAAAAAGGCGGGGAUGAGCUGUGGUUAGCGGUGAAAUUCCAAUCGAACUCGGAUAUAGCUGGUUCUCAUCGAAAUAGCUUUAGGGCUAGCCUCAGGAUAGUUUAGCGGAGGUAAAGCACUGAAUGGGCUAGGGGGCUUCACGGCUUACCGAACCCUAUCAAACUCUGAAUGCCGCAUAAAUGUUUCCUGGGAGUCAGACUGCGUGAGAUAAGUUUCGUAGUCAAAAGGGAAAGAGCCCAGACCUACAGCUAAGGUCCCUAAAUGAAUUUAAGUGGAAAAGGAUGUGCAGUUGCGUAGACAACUAGGACGUUGGCUUAGAAGCAGCCACUCAUUUAAAGAGUGCGUAAUAGCUCACUAGUCGAGUGAUUGUGCGCCGAAAAUGUAACGGGGCUAAAAUUCAUACCGAAGCUUAGGAAUGAUAGUAAUAUUGUUGGUAGAUGAGCGUUGUGUAAGCCUGAGAAGCUACACCGAAAGGAGUAGUGGAGGUAUCACAAGUGAGAAUGCCGGAAUGAGUAGCGAGAAUUAUGUGAGAAUCAUAAUGGUCGAAAAUCUAAGGUUUCUUGAGGAAGGUUCGUCCGCUCAAGGUAAGCCGGGAGCUAAGGCGAGGCCGAGAGGCGUAGUCGAUGCACAUACGGUAAAGAUUCCGUAGCCACCGAAGUCGUUAAAUACAGGGACACAGGAACAUAGCCUAACCCCACCGUUGGUUGAGUGGGGCGUAAGGGAGCGAAAAUUAGUAGCGAAGUGGGUGAUUGUACACUGGCGAGAAAAGCUGUAUGAAUUGACAAGGUGCCCGUACCGCAAACCGACACAGGUAGAUGAGGAGAGAAUCCUAAGACCAGCGGGAGAAGUGUUGUUAAGGAACUCGGCAAAAUGACCCCGUAACUUCGGGAUAAGGGGAGCCUACGCGAGUAGGCCGCAGAGAAUAGUCUCAAGCGACUGUUUAGCAAAAACACAGGUCUAUGCUAAAUCGAAAGAUGAUGUAUAUGGGCUGACGCCUGCCCGGUGCUGGAAGGUUAAGGGGAAGUGUUAGAGCAAUCGAAGCACUGAACUUAAGCCCCAGUAAACGGCGGCCGUAACUAUAACGGUCCUAAGGUAGCGAAAUUCCUUGUCAGGUAAGUUCUGACCCGCACGAAUGGCGUAACGACUUG